UGACACUUUACCGACUGGCUUCGUCCGCGAAGCAUGAGCCUCUGAUAUAACUGCAAGAGCUGCUAGACAGAGGAAAUUAAGGACAUAACGCCCUUAGUUAAGGACACAAAGAGAAAGUUGGCAGUCCCACUUGGCAUAAAUUUCAGAAAAUUAAGAAUCAGAGUCCUUUGUCAAGGACUGAUGACAUGAACAGACAAAAUCGUAAGAUCCUAAUUGCUACUCAAGGAUCAACUUGAGGACAGUAUGUCCUCAACUGUGAAUACAAGAAGGAAAUGUCCCUGAAACGACAUUUAGGACUCGCUUCGAGCAUUACGAGUUCCUUGUUGUACCAUUCGGCUUAACACAUGCAUCAACAAUAUUCAUGGACCUCAUGAAACGAACGUGUCGUGAGCAAACAGCUGCAAUUUACCUUGCAACUCUUAGAGAAAAGAACAGUUAUGUGCUAUGAUGACGAAAAACGAAUUUCGAAUUCGCGAAGUGAGAACUUUCAGAUCCAUGAUAGAUAAGAAUGAAAUUCAUGCCAACCCUGCAACCAAGAGCUAAGGAGCUAGAGUUACAACUAUGUGACGCUUCUCGACAAAGUCUUGAUUGUACGUCGAUGCAACGAGACCACAACAUUGCAUACGCGGCACAUUGAUUAAGGCAUCAUGAGAAGAAACCUUGAUCUAAAUACAGUAUUUGCACGCCGCAAACUUGACGUCAUUACCUGAAAGAAAAGUUGCACGAUCUUUAUUGAUCACAAGGGUUGCAGCACACCGAUGAUCGUAAGAACUUGAACAUGAACGGAGCCGCUGAGCGAUGCAGACUGUAUGAACACAAUACGUGCUUGUGUGAUAAACUGUGAUAAAAAGUCGGAACACUCACUUGCCCUUAGUGGAGUCUUCCUACAACAGUAUUUAUCACACCGCCGUCUAAACCACUUCUUGUAAAGCUUUAGACGGAACAUAAUGAGUCAAUUCCCGUCAUGUUGAACGGAGACUAGAAAUAAACAAUCAACUGGCCCGAGAUGACCCAGGAAAACUAGAGGCAAGAUCGUUCAAAUAUGUGAUCAUAUCAGGACAGCCCGCAGAAUACAGAAAGAUUACGCCGAUGAGCAGCAGAAAUUGUAAGAAUUUGAGACAAGAAGUAUGACUAAAAUGAGACCCGCGCCUAGAGAAGGCGUAGUGUGAUUUGGAAAACGAAAAGGUUGAAUCCCCAGUGUAGGGAUCAGAACCAUUGUUCACAAGAUGAAACUCCCAGAAUGAGAUCAGUAGUGAUCGCGGCACAUUCACGUGUCUAGUAGUUAGAGGAGUCUGACUCAAGGAACAGUCGUUGUUCCCACAAAUAAGAUUCACGUCAAUGACAAACGACAGAAACCUAUUGAGGUUUGGACCAAGAGUCCACAAUACUAUAGAAACCUGUUGAGGUUUUGGACCAAGAGUCCACAAUACUAUAGAAACCUGUUGAAGUUUUGGACCAAGAGUCCACAAUACUAUAGAAACCUGUAAAAAUUUGAAAAUUUUUGGAACAAGUUAACUAUUUUAUUAAAAUACUCGAAAAUAGUCCAGUUUUGGAUAUUUAAGUUGAAAUGACAUAAGUGGUAAUUUACGUGGCUAAAUGUCAAGUAUGUUAUUUGAGAAAGAUCUAAUGUGUUAUAUGUCAAAGAAAUAAAUAUUAAGUAAGUAUAUUUAUAAGGAAAAAUAUAUGAAUAUUUUGAUCACCAAAUUUUGUGCUAAGUGUGUGUAGUAUGUAUUAUGCAUGAUAGUGUAUUAGGACUUGAAAAUACACAUACAACAUACUUAGACAAAAUACAUAAUUCGGGUGCAAAGUGCAAAAUACAAAAUACUUAUAUUUAUUUUUGAGAAAAUAAUAUAAGUAAGACACUUAGUUAAAAAUAUAACUUAUUUUUAACACAAGAAUACGUACACAAAAGAUAGUGACUUGUACUUGUGCGACACAAGUCUAGUGACUAACGUUAAUAAAGCACGUUUAGGUCAUGACGCUAGCUAAGCAAAUCCGGUGAAGUUUACGACGCAAGGAACGCAAAGUUGUGAGUUCAUGCUCCCCCUUUUCUCUAACUGUUUUUGGUUUUAUAACUCUCGGGGGUGAAAUACAUGUUACAAAUAUUACAAUUU
rnacentral:lncRNA from 1 species